rnacentral:rRNA from 1 species
UACGAAGGGGGCUAGCGUUGCUCGGAAUCACUGGGCGUAAAGCGCACGUAGGCGGAUUGUUAAGUCAGGGGUGAAAUCCUGGAGCUCAACUCCAGAACUGCCUUUGAUACUGGCGAUCUCGAGUCCGGGAGAGGUGAGUGGAACUGCGAGUGUAGAGGUGAAAUUCGUAGAUAUUCGCAAGAACACCAGUGGCGAAGGCGGCUCACCUGGCCCGGUA